GGAUUGAUUUUGUUGUUGUUCUUGUUUGGGAAGUUUGGUCCAUUUUGUCUCAGAUCUGCUUAGAGUUCAUUUCAUAGUUACUUUAUCUUAUCUAGAGGGGUCUUAUAGAAGAAAAACAAUUCCAUAAGGUUGAUGUUUAGCUUUCAGCAAGGGAGCAAGUAGACCUUUGUCUCAAUCAAAGGUGCUUUGAUUGCUAACAUGACAUAUUGCUCGUGAACAUCAUCACAACAACAUUAAAUGCUCACUUCUGAUAUAACACACAGGGUCUGCGCUGGGAAGGGUUGUCCUUGGCUCUUCUGAUGUGAUUUCCUUGCUUUAUUAAUCAAAUGGCUAUCAAGCACAGUGCUGGUGAACAGGAAGUGAAAUGAGUGUGUUAAAGUGUGGGCGACCAGCUGUAAGUGCUCUGAUGUGUCUUUUCUGCAGCACUGAUCCCUCUGUGGUUAACAUAUCUGAUGAGAUGGCCAAAACUGCUGUGUGGAGAGCUGUUGCCAUGAGCUCUGACAGUGCCAAAAUAUUGAAACCUAGUGCCAGUGAAGAGAAGACGGUUAGUAUUAAGAUCAAUGCGGAAGACGAGCAGGGGGAUAAAUGUGUGGAUACAGAGACGUCAUUAUGAUUUUGAGACUUUGAGAGCUCACUGUGGACACGUGCAGGGCCCUUCCCAGAGUCCUCUAGUCUGGAAUGGUGUUGCUCUGUUCUGUGUGCCCUGCCAACUUGCCUAAGUCAAGCCAAAGGUAGAGAUGCCCGAUAGAGGGCUGAGAAAUGACUUCCAGGUAUAUUUAUCUCUGUUUCUAUUUUUAAUCAAACCAACAAACCUUUUUAUUUUGUACAUUUUGUUUUUAAUAUGAAUAAAGCACCAUGAUUUCAGACAUAUACUGUAGGGAAUGUUAUGAAGAGCUCAGACCAGUAGGUUUCAUAUUUUUACUUCAUUUUGUCAUUUAAUUUUUUUCAAGAUAGAUGUGAAGACGAAGUCUUUUAGAAUUAGUUUUACAUGCCAAAAUCCUGUUUCUCACGGUACCAGUUUUCAGAUCAUCACCCUGGAUGUUUUUCUUUAAGUACAUUAAAAUGCUGUUUGUUGCAGUGCUUUUUUUUUUAUUUUUAUUU